AUUGAACGCUGGCGGCAGGCUUAACACAUGCAAGUCGAACGAGUGGCGGACGGGUGAGUAAUGCUUGGGAAUCUAGCUUAUGGAGGGGGAUACAUACGGGAAACUGUAGCUAAUACCGCGUACCAUAGGAUGAGCCCACUUGGGAUUAGGUAGUUAGUGAGGUAAAGGCUCACCAAGCCGACGAUCGCUAGCUGGUCUGAGCGGAUGACCAGCCACACUGGGACUGAGCCAAGGCACAGACUCCGACGUGAGGCAGCGGUGGGGAAUAUGGCGCAAUGGGGGCAACCUGACGCAGCCAUGCCGCGUGAAUGAAGAAGGCCGUCGGGUUGUAAAGUUCUGUCGGUAGCGAGGCGUUAACUACAGAAGAAGCACCGGCUAACUCCGUGCCAGCAGCCGCGGUAAUUC
rnacentral:rRNA from 1 species